ensembl:lncRNA
GUCAGCUGCAGCUUUAAGUAGUGGCAAGUCCAGAGCUACCAUCAGUUCUACUACUGCGGUGACAGAAUCACCUUCACUCAGCCUAGAAAGCCUGCAUGGGGCUAUUCAGAAACUCGCGGCCCGUCAAGAAGAGCUGUUUAAAGAGGUUCGCCUUGUUAAAGAAAUGAGGGUAGAGCCAAGGGAAAGUUACAAACACAGCUCCCGGGCCCCGCUGAAGGAUAGUGAUGGUAGAUACAUUUGCUACUCCUGUAACCAGCCAGGACACACGAGUCGUUAUUGUCCCCAAAAUCAGGAAAAACAACCAGGGCUGCCAGUGGACAGGACUACGACUGUGUCCAGUCAGCAUGGUGAUAGUACGGGUGUAGAUAUGUCAGCUUCAAUUCGUGUUCAGUCUGCCUCAUCUGCGGUCCAUGGCCACCAGGUUACUAGUCAGGCAUUUGGUAAUUGUCUGGUUAUUGAGGUAAAAAUAGCUGGGGUUAUAACCCGCUGUUUGUUGGACACGGGCUCGGAGGUUACAACCAUUACAGAGUCUUACUUUAGAGAACAUUUUUGUGGAGUUGGAUCAGAGCUAUUGAGUGCCAGAUGGGUGCGCCUCACUGCGGCGAAUGGAUUGGAGAUCCCAGUGGUUGGGUGUCUGGAGACUGAUGUGGAGUGCAUGGGACAGACCUUAUGUAACAAGUGUGUGUUUGUAUUAAAGGAUCCAGAACAGUCAGGAGAGGUGGGGGUUCCUGGCAUCGUUGGCAUGAAUAUACUGGGGGACCUUAAGGGACUGCUUGGGACCCACAAAGAGGUGACCAAACUAGACCGCCACAGGGGGUUGAGAGAGAAUGCCUGUGUCAGGAGAGUACUGGCAACCAUUGAGAAGGAAACAAACUACAUUGCCCCAUCAGGUAGAAUAGGUUACGUCAAGGUAGCAGGCAGGAGGAAAGUUACCAUUCCGCAAUACACUCAGGUAAUUGUACAGGGGCGUUGCCGAACCCCAAUGAAGAGCCAAUGUCAAGUCUUAGUGGAGGCUACAACAGGUGUAAGUCUGCCAAGUUAAGUUAGGGUUAGGGUUAGGG